rnacentral:rRNA from 1 species
CAGUAGCGUAUAUUAAAGUUGUUGCAGUUAAAAAGCUCGUAGUUGGAUUUCUGGUACGCUGCGCCUGGCCCGCCCGCGUUAGCGGUGUGAGUGUCGGUGCGCGGUUGCCAUCCUUCUAGAGAACGUGCCUACCUUUAAUUAGGCCGGGCACGGGAUCUAGAUCAUUUACUUUGAAAAAAUUAGAGUGUUUAAAGCAGGCUUUUGCUAUGAAUACAUUAGCAUGGAAUAAUAAUAUAGGACUUUGGUUCUAUUUUGUUGGUUUCUAGGACUAAAGUAAUGAUUGAUAGGGAUAGUUGGGGGUGCUAGUAUUCAGCGGCCAGAGGUGAAAUUCUCGGAUUCGCUGAAGACUAACUUAUGCGAAAGCAUUCACCAAGGAUGUCUUCUUUAAUCAAGAACGAAAGUUGGGGGGAUCAAAAGACGAGUACUACGAGUACCUAACCUACUUCGUAGGAACGUACGUCCGAACCGGAACGGACCAACCAACGGGGAAGGGGUAAGGUA